UCUGUAUAAAGCCAAUAUGAUAUAAUCACAUACUUUGGAGUAUACAUACAUCUCUGAUCAGCCUGAGUUGGAGUCUUUUGGUUGUUCCGGCUGUUUAUAAACUGUUUUGAAGAAUUUGCUUUAAAAUCAUUUGGAUUCUUAUAAAAAGGGACUGGAAAGAUUUGAAAAAAAAAAGGUCUUCAUAACAUUUUCCAACUCAGAAGACACUGGUUAUACUAGAAGAGUGAGCAUCUUUUACCAAAUAAUUUAGUGUCAAGAAAUUUCACUCUAAGCCACAAGUGGCCUUAAGAUAGGACAGAGAGGACCUAAAAGAUGUGACACUCCACCAGCAAACAGCACAUCUAGUGCCAAGAUCUUAGUUUCUAAAACCUUCCUCUGAUGAGAGGAACUAGUUUCUUGGAGAAAUGACUGAUUCCAAGACUGGGGCAGGAAAUAUAGAUGAUGAACCUAGAACACCCCGUAGUGCCAGAAAGUAAAGUGCUCAAAAACCAAAACAAAACCUCCAACAAUUCACAGAGAUGGAGACGUGUCAAAUGAUCACAGUGGCAAGAGUCAUUUGAACAAAAUGAAUAAAGUAAGGUUGGAUUAUAACCCAAAAUAUAUU